AAUAUGUGGGAUUAUGAACUAUAAAGCUUUGGUUCAUUAGGAAGUGGAGUCGCAAGGCAGGAAUAUUACUCAACAGCUGUGAACUGGAGUUAUAACAAUAAUUCCAUGGGCCUCCCUGGAAGCUAACCCUUUGUGCAUUCACUUGUUUGUCAAACUCCAACACAAUUUUAUUAUAAACUUCAGUUGGAAGAAAUGUAAAAGAUGCACCACUGUCAACAGCUGCUUUGAAUCCGGAUUGCUUAAGACAAGAAUUGCCAACACAGGAAGACUCCACCUCGACAAAAUAAGUAAUAUAAUUUCCCUGCAUAGGCACAAAUGGUGUUGAAUUUUGGGACGCAUGCCCUUGGUCACCAAACAAGAUUCUCCCAGAAUCAUUCUCAUCAAAGCAGAGCGAGAAAGAUUUCCGAAUUAAUCCAGCUUUUGCAAGCAAACUUGGAACAGAAAUGUCUCCGGGUCCUAGUCCCAUAACACCAUCAGGAGCAGCUCCAUCCAAAUAGCCACCACUUUGCUUUCUACCACAGCCUAUAAUAACUGAAGCCUGCACCCUUCUUGGGGUUGCGUUUUCGCUAACUGAAUCCAAAUGUAGUUUAUCUUCGACCAAAAAUCCAGAACUUGAAGUACCCGGGUCAUCAUAGUUAGCAAUGUAUGGGCAGGGCUCCUUGAGAUUUUUGCAGUUGGAACCCAAUUCACAAAGCUGAUGGCUGCAAGAAAGGUGCCUGCUUGUGCUGGAUAAAGAUGGGCUAUACUCGCUUAAAUCUCUAUCCAAAGAACUGUAGUAACUGGCAGACAAGGGGGCGCAUUGUACGCAAUCACAGGGGACCCACAGCAGAUCGCUCCCAGCAUCCAAUGCAACAAGAAAUGAUACAUUUGGCGUCCCUA
rnacentral:misc_RNA from 1 species